GGGGAUUCCUGAAGGAGGAGGAGCCUUGUGGAAGAAGAAAGGAGAAAAUCAUCAUGAUGAUGAUGAAGAAGAAGAAGAAGAAGGAUCCUGAGGAGGGAGAAUCACUGCUGUGAGCCCUGCAGAAGUACAACACGAUAUUUUCCCUCCAGUCCUACAAAAGGCCUUGUCAGAGAUGUGGCUGCAGAGGAAACCUUGGGGAGCUGCCAGUCCUGAUGAAUAGAUAACCUGCAGGAGGUAGAAGGAUGAAUCUGAUGCUCCUUGAGCACUCCAGUCCAGCUCAGACAGAGAAUAGAGGACACUGACCCUGCUGGUGCUGUGUGUGGCAGAUGGCAAAGCUGCUUUCAUUGCUGGCUUUGGAGGCUCUGUGACAUCUGAUUAUGAUGAGCUAUAAGAGGAGUCCAACAAUUCCUUAGCAAAAGAACAUCUUACCUGAAUAAAUCAACAGCCACCAGGCCGAGCAAAGAUAAAAGGUAGAACAUGCCUCUCUUGCCUGCUCCCGGGGAAACUCCAUUAUCCUUCCAGGCUCACGUGGCUGAGGAAAAGCCAAUCUGAGUGGGAAGAGGCAGCCCACAAGGACGAGCUCUGUGUGAGCAGAAAAUGAAGUUGUUACCAGACAGCAAACUGCAGCCCUCGGUUCUUAUGAAUAUUUGAAUGAGUAACUAAAAACAGCUCAGUGGACUCUAAGCGACUGUGACAGCUGAAACUGCCUGGGAAACCAGCGGUCUACAAGGGCCACGAUGAAAAGAUCAGCAGCCACAUUUCCACCUACACCACCAGUAUGUUGUACAACAUGAGCAGGUUCUUAGUAUCCAAAUAUUGUUUAGAAAGAAAAAUACCUUUUCCCCCUAUGAAUUUUCAUGAGCAAGGUAUGUCGUGAAUCUGGCAAGAAAUUUUGAAUCCAUUAAAGUCCAAUGAUUUCUAACAACCUACUCAAGGCAAGAGAAUGCCCACGUUUUUCAGACAUUGAAAUAUUGAUGCUGCUUAUACUUACAGAAAAUUUGCCCUAGUGAAUCUUUCAUUAAUAUUUUUCAGCUACUUCCACGUGGCAAGAAAGAUGAUGAGAACAGUUUCCCUGAAGAUCAAAUGUUCUGAGUAAUCUGCACUAAAAAGAAAGGGUGGAAGAGCCAUAAUAAGCAAACUAAUGAAACAUUGGGUUUAUUCAGUAGCAUUUGGAGAAAAGUAGAGGAGUUAUAAAAAGAGCAAAGCAGCUCUGUUUGCUUAAAAAGAAAAAAAAAAAAAAAGGAAGAAAAAAAAAAAA